rnacentral:rRNA from 1 species
AUUGAACGCUGGCGGCAGGCCUAACACAUGCAAGUCGAGCGAGCGGCGGACGGGUGAGUAAUGUCUGGGAAACUGCCUGAUGGAGGGGGAGAACUACUGGAAACGGUAGCUAAUACCGCAUACCAUCAGAUGUGCCCAGAUGGGAUUAGCUAGUAGGUGGGGUAAUGGCUUACCUAGGCGACGAUCCCUAGCUGGUCUGAGAGGAUGAUCAGCCACACUGGAACUGAGACACGGUCCAGACUCCUACGGGAGGCAGCAGUGGGGAAUAUUGGACAAUGGGCGCAAGCCUGAUGCAGCCAUGCCGCGUGUGUGAAGAAGGCCUUCGGAUUGUAAAGCACUUUCAGCGGGGAGGCGUUACCCACAGAAGAAGCACCGGCUAACUCCGUGCCAGCAGCCGCGGUAAUAC